CAGUCGAAGCAUGUCAUGCAUGGGGGCUGCUGCCUUGAGUCUUGUGACACAGCAGGGAAAAUUUAUCCUUUGGAUUUGUCCUAAGGGAAAACCUUCUGAGCUCGCAUUGCCAUCAGCAUGGAGGGAUAUCAACCCCAGAGCCAACACCAGACAUUCUAGCACAUCCCAGAAUUGACAGGGUUUUGCCAGUCUCCACUGACCCUUAGGCUCCUCACUCCCAGUUUCCCCUUGUUUUCCACAGGUUUUGGUCAAUGCAUUUCCUGAGCUAGCUGAAGGGGUGAACAACACAUGGCUGCUUGGAGCUUGCUGGGCUAGAGCUGGGACAGAGCAUCUUCCUGUGGUGGGCUGUGCAUCUCCAUCUAACAUCUCUCACUGGGCAGAUGCAGCAUGCAACCACUGUCUCGAGGGUGAUCAGGAACAGUAAGAGAGCAAGGGGGAAAUGCAGUAACUGUGGGGUUGUUUCCCCAUGUUGUGCCACUUUGACCUGGGAGCUCAGAGCCAUUUAAUUCUGUUUCCUUGCUGGUCUGGGAACGAGUAUGCACAGAAAGAGAUGAGAACAGAAAAGCAGGGUGAGAAACCAAAGCUGAAAGCUCCUGCUCCCACCACAGCCAGUUCUGACCAGCCAGACCAGAGCUCCACUGGAGAAGGACAAUGCAAAACUUUGGCUUUCUCUCUCCAAACCAGCAGGCAUGAGGCUGCUCCAGCAUGGAUGUGUUGCAGAUGUGCUGAUAGCAGCGAGCUGAGUGCUGACACUGCUGUGGAGGGGCUGCAGAUGCAGUCACCUGUGGAUUGACACCCACCAACUCUUCAAUCACAAGUGUGCACCAGGUUUCAGGACAGGUGAUUUGAAGGCAUCGUGCUUGCAGGAAGCAAAAUGUUGCCCUCCGCUGUUUGCAGCAUUGCUGGAACAGAGAACUCGCUGCGUCCGAGCCAGUCCAGCUUUGCUCCAGUGUCACAUCCGUGGCAGUGGUCAGGGAAUUUGGAGAGACAACUCCCACCCAGCCCAUAGACGCUGCAAAGACCUGCAAAAGGUCCCAUCAUCCUUCCUGAGCCACCAGGAGUGACGGCCUCCCACUCUCAGGGUGAGCUGCUGCUGCCCUGGCACCUCGGUACAGGACUGAGACAUUUGGAUGGGCCAUGGGCUCAGCUGGGCUCUUCAGACUGAGGUGCCCCAGCACGAGCACUAACCCACAUGUGCGGCCACUUGCUGUGCAUCUAAAAGGAUGCUGAUGGGCAGUGCCAGCCCCAGGCAGGAAAAAGGGACUUCUGCAUCAUCUGCUGCCUGUUGGAUGCUGUUGAAGGCAGCAGUGGCAGCACCUGCCUGUGUGCAGGCUCUGAGCUCACCUGUGCCCACCAUGAUGAGCCAUUUCCUUCCUGAGCACCAGCCCUCCCGGGGACGUCCUGCCUGGGAAAUGAAAUCAGCUCUGAAUGGGAAGUGCAACCAAGCUGGCCCAGCCCAGGAAGAAAAAGGGCGGCAAAAGAAAAACAAAUUCAGAAGCUGGAAUGGAAAAAAAAAAAAGUGAAAUGCUGUGUGUGCUGCUGUCCCUGUCACUCCCCCCACGCCCAUAGCCACGGUCGGGAAGGCUGGCUUGUCCCACCAAGGUGGUGCAGAAAGGGGUGAUUUUUCCUUUAGCAGGAUUCCUGCUUCAACACAGUCCUUUUCUCCAGUUCUGGCUCUGGAAAAGGGAGCAGCUGGGUGCUGAGCCUGCCACAGCCCAGCCGUGCUGCCGGGCGAGGGCAAAGAGGCGUUAGCUGAGACAGGGAGCCGAGCGCUUUAUUUUUAGUCUUGGUUUAACAAGUAUUAAUUAAUAAGAGUGCAAAUGCUAAUGCCGAGAUGACACAAACUGCGUUGCCUGAAAUGAAUGUUUGGGGCUUGCCUGUGCCAGGAUUUACAGCCGGGUGGGUUCACAGGGGCGAAAUCGUUGCUCAAACUGCAAGGAUAAGCUGAGCCGGCUUCUUCGCACCGCGAGCGGCAUCGGCCGUGCCGCAAUGGGAUGUGCCGGGGGCUCCGGGGCCGCGCCGGGGGCUCGGGGCUGGGCUUGGGGAUGGGCUCCGGGCUGGGCUCGGGGCUGGCUCCGCAGCAGCGCCUUGUGGUGCCACACCAGCUCAUCUCCCAGGAAGUUUUGCAAAGUGUGGAUCAUUUUAGUCUCUGCCCAUCGGAGGUGCAGGGGUCAUGCCUUGCAGAAGGAUUUUUUCACAUAGUGAAACUUCGAUCUUUGGAGAAAAAAAUUCUUUUUCCCCUGGUCAAAUCCCUCUGUCCUGCUCAUUUCCUGCCUGCAUCUUCUUGCCCUGAGAGCUGGGCUUGGCUGGAGGGUUGGCAGGAGGCUCAGGAGAAUGAGGAGGUGAAGAAAUACCCCAUGGCAGUAAGACUUGAAGAGUUUUUCCGAUCAGCACCAGCAUUCUGUCUGGUUUUGUUGGCACCACAGAAAUUAUGAAGCUCCAUCACUGCUGAGGAUGGAUUUAGGAUGUUUUUAGGUUUCCAGUGAAGUGCUGUCAGAGUGAUGGUGGCCUGGGGUCCUGCGGCUUGUCCAGCGACUUAAACCUCUCCAGUGGGGAUCUUGAAUCAGAGAGGGAAGAGCUCAGUCAACCCAGAUCCAGGCCAGGUUUUCCUCUUUCUUUCUCCUCUCAACUGCAGGCAGGAGGGAGCUGCUACCUGCCUGACACAGCUGCUGCUGCUUUCGAAGCCCAGCCGCCUCCAGCCAGCCCUGCUCAGCCGGGAUGGCACGGCAGAGAGCUGGAGGCCCAGGAGUGUGGCCAGUGCAAGCCAGGCACGUGCCAUGCACUGGGAGCCAGGGACACCGCUCGGUGUCCACACUGCAUCCUCCUGCUGCAUCCUCCUGCUGCAUCCUCCCAGGGCACACCUCAUCCUCCCCAGAGUGCUCGCUGCAUCCCCCAGCCCCUGAGCUGGGGCAGAGAUAGGAGCUGGCAGGACUCCCACAUGGGCUGGAUCCCUCAGCCUUCCCACGCCGGGGGUCUCCCUGUCACCUGAGGGGGCUCAGCUGCCAUUUUGGGAAAGCCAAGAGGGGCUGAGUUGUUUUUUUUUUUUUUUCCAACGGGCUGGAAGGAUACAGCACUGAGAGUG